rnacentral:rRNA from 1 species
UACGUAGGGUGCGAGCGUUGUCCGGAAUUAUUGGGCGUAAAGGGCUCGUAGGCGGUUUGUCGCGUCGGGUGUGAAAACUCAGGGCUUAACCCUGAGCCUGCUCCCGAUACGGGCAGACUAGAGGUAUGCAGGGGAGAACGGAAUUCCUGGUGUAGCGGUGAAAUGCGCAGAUAUCAGGAGGAACACCGGUGGCGAAGGCGGUUCUCUGGGCCGUACCUGACGCUGAGGAGCGAAAGCGUGGGUAGCGAACAGG